CAAUAGCGUAUAUUAAAGUUGUUGCAGUUAAAAGCUCGUAGUUGGAUUUGUGGUGUGUCCAGUUGGCCUUUGCUCUUUGAGUGAUAGUGCUUUACUGGUCUGCCAUGUUUGGGUGGAAUCUGUGUGGCAUUAAGUUGUCGUGCAGGGGAUGCCCAUCGUUUACUGUGAAAAAUUAGAGUGUUCAAAGCAGGCUUAUGCCUCUGAAUAUAUUAGCAUGGAAUAAUGAUAUAGGACCUUGGUUCUAUUUUGUUGGUUGUUCGAGAACCGAAGUAAUGAUUGAUAGGGACAGUUGGGGGCAUCAGUAUUCUGAAGCGAGAGGUGAAAUUCUUGGACCUUCGGAAGACUAACAACUAGCG
rnacentral:rRNA from 1 species